rnacentral:rRNA from 1 species
CCUACGGGUGGCAGCAGUGAGGAAUAUUGGUCAAUGGGCGAGAGUCUGAACCAGCCAAGUAGCGUGAAGGAUGAAGGAUCUAUGGUUUGUAAACUUCUUUUAUAAGGGAAUAAAGUGAGGCACGUGUUCCUUUUUGUAUGUACUUUAUGAAUAAGCAUCGGCUAACUCCGUGCCAGCAGCCGCGGUAAUACGGAGGAUGCGAGCGUUAUCCGGAUUUAUUGGGUUUAAAGGGUGCGUAGUGGGGUAAUUAAGUCAGCGGUGAAAGUUUGUGGCUCAACCGUAAAAUUGCCGUUGAAACUGGUUGACUUGAGUAUAUUUGAGGUAGGCGGAAUGCGUGGUGUAGCGGUGAAAUGCUUAGAUAUCACGCAGAACCCCGAUUGCGAAGGCAGCUUACUAAACUAUAACUGACACUGAAGCACGAAAGCGUGGGUAUCAAACAGGAUUAGAUACCCCAGUAGUC